AUCAUGGCGUCAGAUUGAACGCUGGCGGCAGGCCUAACACAUGCAAGUCGAGCGGUAGAGAGAAGCUUGCUUCUCUUGAGAGCGGCGGACGGGCGAGUAAUGCCUAGGAAUCUGCCUGGUAGUGGGGGAUAACGUUCGGAAACGGGCGCUAAUACCGCAUACGUCCUACGGGAGAAAGCAGGGGACCUUCGGGCCUUGCGCUAUCAGAUGAGCCUAGGUCGGAUUAGCUAGUUGGUGAGGUAAUGGCUCACCAAGGCGACGAUCCGUAACUGGUCUGAGAGGAUGAUCAGUCACACUGGAACUGAGACACGGUCCAGACUCCUACGGGAGGCAGCAGUGGGGAAUAUUGGACAAUGGGCGAAAGCCUGAUCCAGCCAUGCCGCGUGUGUGAAGAAGGUCUUCGGAUUGUAAAGCACUUUAAGUUGGGAGGAAGGGCAGUUACCUAAUACGUGAUUGUUUUGACGUUACCGACAGAAUAAGCACCGGCUAACUCUGUG
rnacentral:rRNA from 1 species